CGGGGUGGAGUAAUGCUUGGGAAUCUAGCUUAUGAGGGGGAGAAUACGGGAAACUGUAGCUAAUACCGCGUAGUAUCGGAAGAUGAAAGUGUGGGACCUUCGGGCCACAUGCCAUAGGAUGAGCCCAAGUGGGAUUAGGUAGUUGGUGAGGUAAAGGCUCACCAAGCCGACGAUCUCUAGCUGGUCUGAGAGGAUGACCAGCCACACUGGGACUGAGACACGGCCCAG
rnacentral:rRNA from 1 species